GCCGGAGUGGCGGAACUGGCAGACGCGCGGGACUCAAAAUCCCGUGGGGGUCAACCCCGUGAGGGUUCGAAGCCCUCCUCCGGCACCA
rnacentral:tRNA from 1 species